CUACGGAGGGUGCGAGCGUUGUUCGGAAUUAUUGGGCGUAAAGAGCAUGUAGGCGGUCUGUUAAGUCUGGUGUGAAAGCCCGGGGCUCAACCCCGGAAGUGCAUUGGAUACUGGCAGACUUGAGUAUGGGAGAGGAAAGCGGAAUUCCGAGUGUAGGAGUGAAAUCCGUAGAUAUUCGGAGGAACACCAGUGGCGAAGGCGGCUUUCUGGACCAAUACUGACGCUGAGAUGCGAAAGCGUGGGGAGCGAACAGGAUUAGAAACCCGAGUAGUCC
rnacentral:rRNA from 1 species